rnacentral:misc_RNA from 1 species
GUAGGUGAACCUGCGGAAGGAUCAUUAUUGAAUAAGCUUGGUUGGGUUGUUGCUGGCUCUUCGGAGCAUGUGCACGCCUAACACCAACCUUUUUACCACCUGUGCACCUUUUGUAGACCUGGAUAUCUCUCGAGGAAACUCGGUAUGAGGACUGCUGUGCGUCAAAGCCGGCUUUCCUUACAUUUCCGGUCUAUGUCUUUAUAUACACCAUUAGUAUGUCUAUGAAUGUUAUUAUCGGACUUGACUGUCC